GGAAAGAUGGCCGAGUGGUUUAAGGCGCACGCUUGGAGAGCGUGUGUGGGGUUACACCCCGCCGUGGGUUCGAAUCCCACUCUUUCCG
rnacentral:tRNA from 1 species